GGCCGGGGUGGAGCUCAGCCUGCCAUGAUCUAGAACUAAAGGGAAACUCAACCUGAGUACUUGCCUUGAGGGAAGGCCCUGAGUAUCUGGACAGAAAGGGAGGCAUGCAGCUGUUUCCAUGAGGUCUAAGUCGCUGUACUGCUGUAUUUUAAAGGAACUACCCUUUUCAGGACUCCUAGGCCCCUCGGGUGUGCAUUAUUUCUCUCCAGGAUCACUGAGUACCUCCAGACCCCUGUGGGCCUGCUGAGCAACAUCGAGGCCCAUAGGUCGGUCCCUCGGAGGCCCUCUGUGUAUGCCGACUGAUGGGCAACACGGUGCAUGUUCCUUAAGGAGAGCUACAUUUCCAGAAUUCUCGAACUGCCUCAGGACCAUAUUUCUGGUCAGUCCGAUGUGCCAUGGAAGUCUUUGUCAUGACCGUUGUCUGAGCUGCCAUGGGAAAGUAUUCUGCUUACAGUUCUUCAAGGACCUCGUACCUGAAUUCACUCUGCUCGAGGAGAAAUUCAGCAUCCUACCGUGCUGUGUUGCUGACGAGGCACUCACCGUGAGAACUUACCUCAAGAAACCACAGGGAUGUAUGCUGUGUGUGCCCAUGGAAGUGGAUGCCUGAUGGAACACGCCUUGCUUUCCCAUUUUGAAAGCUCCAUGCAUGCUGCCUUCAAGCUACCUGAAAUUCACUUCUGUUUACAGGCCUCUAGCCACUGUAGGCCUUGAUCUGGGAGAAAAAUGAGUUUCCUCUAUCUAAACCAGGUGCUUCCAUGGCCAGCUUGGAGCUAAGCCUGCCAUGCUGUAGAGCUAAAGGGAAACUCAACAUGAGUACUUGCCUCGAGGAAAGGCCUUGAGUAUCCGUACAGAAAUGGAGGCAUGCAGCUGUUUCCAUGAGGUCUUAGUCACUGUUCUGCUGUAUUUUAAAGGAAGUACCCUUUUCAGGACUCUUAGGCCCCUCGGGUGUGCAUCAUUUUCCUCCAGGAUCACUGAGUAUCUCCAGACCCCUGUGGGCCUGCUGAGCAAAACCGAGGCCCAUAGGACGGUCCCUCAGAGGCCCUCUGUGUUUGCUGAGUGAUGGGCAGCACACUGCAUGUUCAUUAAGGAGAGCCACAUUUCCAGAGCCCUCGAAGAGCCUCAGGACCACAUUUCUGGGCAGUCCGACGUGCCACGGAAGUCUUCGUCAUGGCCGUCGUCGGAGCUGCCAUGGGAAAAUAUUCUGCUUACAAUUCUUCUAAGACCUCAUACCUGAAGUCACUCUGCUCGAGAAGGAAUUCAGCAUCCUACCAUGCUGUGUCGCUAAUGGAACACUCAGCGUGAGAACUUGCCUCAAGGUAAGGCUCUGAAUUUCCAUGCAGUAGCCGAGGCGUGCAGCAGUUUCCAUGAGGCCAUAACCACUGCUCUGCGUUAUCUUAAUGGCAGUACGCUUUUCAGGACACCUAGGAACCUCGCGGGGGCACCAUAUUCCCACCAGGAACACUGAAUACCACUAGGCCCCCCUGGGCCUGCAAAGCAACUUCGAGGCCUGUUGCCCUUUGGAUCCACUGUGUGUAUGCCGAGUAUAGGGCAAUACACUGCACUCCUUCAUGGGAGAGCUUGAAAUCCCCAGCACGCCCAGAGUUUCACGAACGCCGUUCUUGCACGUCCAACGUGCCGGGGAAGUCUGACCCAUUGCCCUAGUCUGAGCUGCACUGAAAAAAACCCUCAGCUUCGCAUUGCAUCUAGGACCUCCUGCCUGAAGUCACCCUGCCUCCAGGAGAAAGUUGGCUUGUGUCCUGACUCCCCUAGCCCAGUUCUUCGUGUAACACUGCAGGCUUUUGAAGAGCCUCAGGCCCAAGGCCUAGCUAGGGCGUACCUUGGUUGAGGCAGUUUGCUAGAUGCAGAACACCCUGCUUUGAGGAGUUGAUUCAGAGAAGGAACCACUGGGUAACCUGUUUCUCUUUUUACUUGUUAGAAACCACACGGAUGUAUGCUGCAUGUGCCCAUGGAAAUGGGGUCCUGAUGGAACUAGCUUUGCUUUCCCAUUUUAAAAUCUCCAUACAUACUGCCUUCAAUCUACCUGAAAUUCACUGCUUUUGACAUGCCUCUAGCCACUGUAGGCCUGGUUCUGGGAAGAAAAUGAGUUUCCUCUAUCUAAACCAGGUGCUUCCAUGGCCGGGAGAGAGCUCAGCCUGCCAUGCUCUAGAGCUAAAGGGGAACUCAACAUGAAUACUUGCCUCGAGGAAAGGCCUUGAGUAUCCGUACAGAAAUGGAGGCAUGCAGCUGUUUCCAUGAGGUCUUAGUCACUGUUCUGCUGUAUUUUAAAGGAACUACCCUUUUCAGGACUCCUAGGCCCCUCGGGUGUGCAUCAUUUCCCUCCAGGAUCACUGAGUACCUCCAGACACCUGGGGGCCUGCUGCACAAUAUUGAGGCCCAUAGGUCGGUCCCUCGGAGGCCCUCUAUGUAUGCCAAGUGAUGGGCAACACACUGCACGUUCCUUAAGGUGAGCUAUAUUUCCAGAGCCCUCGAACUGCCUCAGGACCACAUUUGUGGCCAGUCCGACGUGCCAUGGAAUUCUUUGUCAUUGCCAUCGUCUGAGCUGCCAUGGGAAAACAUUCUCCUUAUAAUUCUUCGAGGACCUCGUACGUGAAGUCACUCUUCUCGAGGAGAAAUUCAGCAUCCUACCAUGAUGUUUCGCUAACGGGACACUCAGCGUUAGCACUUGCCUCAAUGUAAGGCCCUGAAUUGCCGUGCGGAAGCGGAGGCGUGCAGCAGUUUCCAUGAAUCCAUAGCCGAUGCUGUGCAUUUUCUUAACGGCACUAUGCUUUUCAGGACACCUAGGAGCCUCGCGUCGGCAUCGUAUUGCCGGCAGGAACACUGAGUACCCCCAGGUCCCCCUGGGCCUGCUAAGCAACUUCCUGGCCCGUAGCCCUUCAGAGCCACUCUGUGUAUGCCGAGUACAGGGCAACACACUGCACUCCUUCAUGGGACAGCUUGACAUCCCCAGCAAUCCCAGAGUUUCACAAACACCGUUCUAGCCCAUCCAACCUUCCGGAGAAGUCUGACUAAUUGCCCUAGUCUAAGCUGCAGUGAGAAAAAUCUUCGGCUUUGCAUUCCAUCUAGGACCUCCUGCCUGAAGUCACCGUCACUCCAGGAGAGUCAGCUUGCAUUUCGACUGCCACUAAAGCCGGGUUCUUCGUGUAAAACUGCAGGCUUUUGAAGAGCCACAGGCCUGGAGGCCUAGCUAGCGCGUACCUUGGUUGAGACAGUUCAGUAGAUGCAGAACACCCUGCCUCGAGGAGUUGAUUCAGGGAAGGAACCAAUGGGUAACCUGUGUCUCUUGUUGGAAAGCACAGGGAUGUGUGGUGUGUGUGCCCAUUGAAAUAGGGGCCUGAUGGAACUAGCCUUGCUUUCCCAUUUUGAAAGCUCCAUUUAUGCUGCCUUAAAGAUACCUGAAAUUCAGUGCUGUUGACAGGACUCUAGCCACUCUAGGCCUGGCUCUGGGAAGAAAAUGAGUUUCCUCUAUCUAAGCCAGGUGCUUCCAUGGCCGGGGUGGAGCUCAGCCUUCCAUGCCCUAGAGCUAAAAGUAAACUCAACGUAAGUACUUGCCUCGAGGAAAGGCCCUGAAUCUCCAUACAGAAACGGAGGCAUGCAGCUGUUUCCAUGAGGCCUUGGUCGCUGUUCUGCUGUAUUUUAAAGGAACUACCCUUUUCAGGACUCCUAGGCCCCUCGGGUGUGCAUCAUUUCCCUCCAGGAUCACUGAGUAUCUCCAGACCCCUGUGGGCCUGCUGAGUAACAUCGAGGCCCAUAGGUCGGUCCCUCGGAGGUCCUCUGUGUAUGCCGAGUGAUGGGGAAAUCUCUGCACGUUCCUUAAGGAGAGCUACAUUUUCAGAGCCCUCGAACUGCCUCAGGACCACAUUUCUGGCCAGUGCAACGUGUCGUGGAAGUCUUCGUCAUGGCCGUCGUCUGAGCUGCCAUGGGAAAACAUUUUGCUUACAAUUCUUCCAGGACCUCGUACUUGAAGUCGCUCCACUCGAGGAGAAAUUCACCCUCCUACUAUGCUGUGUUGCUAACGGGACACUCAGUGUGAGCACUGGCCUCAAGGUAAGGCCCUGAAUUGCCGUGCAGAAGCCAAGGCAUGCAGGAGUUUACAUGACGCCGAAGACACUGCUCCACAUUAUCUUAAUGGCAGUACGCUUUUCAGGACACCUAGGCGCCUCGCGUGGGCACCCUGUUCCCGGCAGGAACAGUGAGUCGCCCCAGGCCCCCCCUGGGCCUGCUAAGCCACUUGCAGGCCCAUAGCCCUUUCGAGCCACCCUGUGUAUGCCACGUACAGGGCAGCACACUGCACUCCUUCCUGGGACAGGUUGAAAUCCCCAGCACUCUCACAGGUUCACGAACACGGUUCUAGCUCGUCCAACAUGCCCUGGAAGUCUGACUCAUAGCCCUAGUCUGAGCUGCACUGAGAAAAACCCUCGGCUUCGAAUUCCAUCUAGAACCUCCUGCCUGAAGUCACCCUGCCUCCAGGAGAAACUCGGCUUGCGUUCCGACUGCCACUAAAGCCAGGCUAUGUAUGCCGAUUAUAGGGCAACACACUGCCCUCCUUCAUGGGACAACUUGAAAUCCCCAGCACUCCCAGAGUUCCACAAACACUGUUCUAGAAAAUCCAACAUGCCAGGGAAGUCUGACUCAUUGCCCUAGUCUGAGCUGCACUGAGAAAAUCCCUCGGCUUCGCAUUCCAUUUAGGACCUCGUGCCUGAAGUCACCCUCCCUCCAGCAGAAAGUCGGCUUGCGUUCUGACUGCCACUAAAGCCCAGGUCUUCGUGUAACACUGCAGGCUUUUAAAGAGCCACAGGCCCAGAGCCCUAGCUAGGGUGUUCCUUGGUUGAUACAGUUCGCUAGAUGCAGAACACCCUGCUUCGAGGAGUUGAUUCAGGGAAGCAACCACUGGGUAACGUGUGUCUCUUUUGACUUUUUAGAAACCACAAGGAUGUGUGCUGCAUGUGCCCAUGGAAAUGGUGGCCUGAUGGAACUAGCCUUGCUUUCCCAUUUUGAAAGCUCCUUUCAUGCUGCCUUGAAGCUACUUAAAAUUCACUUUUGUUGACAGGCCUCUAGCCAGUUAUAGGCCUGGCUCUGGGAAGAAAAUGAGUUUCCUCUAUCUAAACCAGGUGCUUCCAUGGCCGGUGUAGAGCUCAGCCUGCCAUACUCUAGAGCUAAACGGAAACUCCACGUGAGUACCUGCCUCAAAGAAAGGCCUAGAGUAUCCAUACAGAAAGGGAGGCAUGCAGCUGUUUCCAUGAGGUCUUAGUUGCCGUUCUGCUUUAUUUUAAAGGAAGUACCCUUUUCAGGACUCCUAGGUGCCUUGGGCAUGCAUCAUUUCCCUCCAAGAUCACUGAGUACCUCCAGACCCCUGUGUUCCUGCUGAGCAACAUCUAGGCCCAUAGUUUGAUCCCUUGGAGGCCCUCUCUGUAUGCCGAGCGAUCGGCAACACACUGCACGUUCCUUAAGGAGAGCUACAUUUCCAAAGCCCUCGAACAGCCUCAGGACCACAUUUCUGGCUAGUCCGAUGUGCCAUGGAAUUCUUCAUCAUGGCCGUCAUCGGAGCUUCCAUGGGGAUAUAUUCUGCUUACAAUUCUUCUAGGACCUCAUACCUGAAGUUACUCUGCUCUAGGAGAAAUUCAGCAUCCUACCAUGCUGUGUCACUAACGGAAUACUCAGCGAUGCGCUUGCCUUAAGGUAAGGCCCUGAAUUGCCGAGCAGAAGUGGAGGUGUGCAGCAGUUUCCAUAAGGCCGUAGCUGCUACUCUGCGUUAUCUUAACAGCAGUACGCUUUUCAGGACACCUAGGAGUCUCGCGUGGGCACCGUAUUCCCCGCAGGAACACUGAGUACCCCUAGGCCCCCCUGGGCCUGCGAAAUAACUUCCAUGCCCGUUGCCCUUCGGAGCCACUCUGUGUAUGCUGAGCGUAGGGCAACACACUCCACUGCUGCUUGGGACAGCUUGAAAUCCCCAGCACUCUCAUAGGUUUACAAACACUGUUCUAGCACGUCCAACGUGCCGGGGAAGUCUGACUCAUUGGCCUAGUCUGAGCUGCACUGGGAAACACCCUCGGCUUCGCUUUCCAUCUAGGACCUCCUGCCUGAAGGCACCCUGCCUCCUGGAGAAAGUCGGCUUGCGUUCUGACUGCCACGAAAGCCCAGUUCUUUGUGUCACACGGCAUGCUUUUGAAGAGGCACAGCCCCGGAGGCCUAGCUAGGGCGUACCUUGGUUAGGGCAGUUCACUACAUGCUGAACACCCUGCUUAGAGGAUUUGAUUUGAUUCAGGGAAGGAACCACUUGGCAACCUGUGUCUCUUUUGACUUGUUGUAAAGCACAGGGUUGUAUGGUGCGUGUGCUCAUGGAAAUGGUGUCCUGAUGGAACUAACCUUGCUUUCCCAUUGUGAAAGCUCCAUUCAUGCUGCCUUAAAGCUACGUGAAAUUCACUGCUGUGGACAGGACUCUAGCCACUAUACGCCUGGCUAUGAGAAGAACAUGAGUUUCCUGUAUCUAAACCAGGUGCUUCUAUGACCGGUGUGGAGCUCAGCCUGCCAUGCUCUAGAGCUAAAGGGAAAUUCAAUGGGAACUACCCUUUUUAGGACUCCUAGGGCCCUCGGGUGUGCAUCCUUUUCCCUUGAAGAUCACUGAGUACCUCCAGACUGCUGUGGGCCUGCUGAGCAACAUCGGGGCCCAUAGGUCGGUCACUCAGCGUCCCCCUGCGUAUGCUGAGUGAUGGGAAACACACUGCACGUUCCUUAAGGCGAGCUACAUUCCCAUAGUCUGCGAACAUCCUUCAGGGCCACAUUUCUGGCCAGUCCAACCUGCCAUGGAAGUCUUCGUCAUGGCCACUGUCUGAGCUGUCAUGGGACAACACUCUGCUCAGAAUUCUUCGAGGACCUCGUACCUGAAUUCACUCUGCUCGAGGAGGAAUUCAGCAUCCUACCAUGCUGCGUCACAACUGGGACACUCAGCAUGAGCACUUGCCUCAAGGUAAGGCCCUGAAUUUCCGUGCAGAAGCCGAGUCGUACAGCAGUUUCCAUGAGGCUGAAGCCGCUGCUAUGCAUUAUCUUAACUGCAGUACACUUUUCAGGACACCUAGGAGCCCAGCGUGGGCACCCUGUUCCUGGCAGGAACAGUGCGUCACCCCAUUUCCCCCUGGGCCUGCUAAGCAACUUCCAGGCCCGUGGCCCUUCACAGCCACUCUGUGUAUGCCGUGUGUAGGGCAACACCCUGAAGUCCUUCUUGGGUCAUCUUGAAAUCCCCAGCUCUCCCAGAGUGUCACCAACACUGGUCUAGCACGUCCAACAUGCCAGGGAAGGCUGACUCAUGGCCCUAGUCUGAGCUGCACUGAGAGAAACCCUCGGCUUCGCAUUCCAUGUAGGACCUCCUGCCUGAAGUCACCCUGCCUCCAGGAGAAAGUCGUCUUGCGUUCCUACUGCAUCUAAAACCCAGUUCUUCAUGUAACACUGCCGGCUUUUGAAGAGCCACAGGCCCGGAAGCCUAGCUAGGGCGUACCUUGGUUGAGGCAGUUAAGUAGAUGCAGAACACUCUGCUUCGAGGAGUUGAUACGGGGAAGGUAACACUGGGUAACCUGUGUCCCUUUUGACUUGUUAGAAACCACAGGGAUGUAUGCCGCUUGUGCCCAUGGAAAAGGGGCACUGAUGGAACUAGCAUUGCUUUCCCGUUUUGAAAGCGCCAUGCAUGGUGCCUUGAGGGACCUGAAAUUCACUGCUGUUGACAGGCCACUAGCCACUGUAGGCCUGGUUCUGGGAAGAAAAUGAGUUUCCUCUAUCUAAAGCGGGUGCUUCUAUGGCCGGGGUGGAGCUCAGCCUGCCAUGCUCUAGAGCUAAAGGGAAACGCAACGUGAGUACUUGCCUCGAGGAAAGGCCUUGAGUAUCCGUACAGAAAGGGAGGCAUGCAGCUGUUUCCAUGAGGUCUGAGUCGCUGUUCCUCUUUAUU